CCCAGCUCCAGGACACAGGGACAGCGGAGAGGGGCAACGAGCAAAUCAGAGGCAGAAGAAGAUGCUGAAACAGAGACCCGGGCCCAAAGUGAGGUGGAGACUGACGGGUGAUGUGUGUUCACAAGGGAGGAGCCCAGUGUGGGCUGCUCGGUGCUGCAUCCCGGAGAGCCUACACAAUGCUUCCCAAGAGUGGGAGCUGCGCUUGAGGAAAUCAGUAAGACCCUCACAGAAACAGGGACCAAGCCAUGAAUCAGCAAGCCUAACCAGAUAGCCAGCCACCACCACGGCCACAUCACCUACCCUCACCAUAAAGGAACACCCAGAGGCCAGAAGAUAACCACCCAGGAGACCCUCAGCAGCCCACACCCACGUAUCUCUCAGCCCCUGGGGGAGUUGGCUCCACAGUUCAGCUGCAGAGAGAGAGCUCUGCUCUCCUCUCACCUAGGAAGGCUGGGAAGGGCCAGGCUUCCUCGGCCCCAACUCCUCACCAUGAUUUAUGGAGAGUGGCCCCCCAGGAAGGAAGCCUCAAUCAAGGACCUGCCAAGAAACACAAUAACUUAAUGAAUUAAGCUCCAUUUGGAUGGUCUGGGUUUUUUUUUUUCCCCCUCUGCCACAACUGUAUCUUGAUUCCAGAGGUGUGUCUCUGGUGGAGCCCCCAGUAAACACAUUGUCUGGUUUCUGAACAACUGGGGGAGGGGAGUUGAAAAAUUAAAAAGAAAAGGAAAGAAAAAGAACCCACCAGGAUGCAACAAUGGGGACAUUGUCCUUAUGGACGACCUCGUGACCUUAUGUUGCUGCCAGAGAGAACACCCCAAAGUCCAGGAAAACAGCAGAAGAAUGGUCAUGAAUCAAGCUUCCUGCUACUGGAUGUGUUUACCUCUUGUAGGAGCGUAUUUGAUGUUGUCUGAGGAAGCUGUCCUUUCAGGACCUUUCCCAGGACACGAGAGACCGAGAGACCGAGAAAGGUGACCUCUGUCACAUAGGGAGGGUCAGGAUAGAGCCUGAGGGUUGGGGGAUGGGGGAGGGUCCUCCAGCUGAAGAAGCCACAGUCCUUGUACCUGGCUAGUGGGCUGGGUUCAUGUUACUGCCUCUGCUUAUUUCCCCUAUGUCGUCCCUGAAAUUGGAGCAGUCUUUGUUCCAUCUUGACCCAGCUGUGUUUAGGGAUAUCGAGGCAGUGAUCCCAGUUGCAGCUUAGGCUCGGCCAGCCGCCUCAAGCCAGCAGGGUGUGGCCACAGAGCUCUUUAGGGGCUGAGCCAAGGGAAGCAGCAUCC
rnacentral:lncRNA from 1 species